UCUGACGUAUCCGCAUGCCUUUAUCACUCGAUAUUUAAGAUUAAAAUAAAAAAAUGUGUGGAUAAAAACAUUUAUACUAAAACUUAACGAUUAAUAGUUGAAGUCAAAACAAUUUUUUAAAAAUUAUUGAUAACGCAUUCAAAAUUUUUAAAAUAUCGUGACUAGUAAAUGGAUACAUGUUUAAAAUAAAAGUUUCUAUCGUUAAAUGCUAUUAUAAUCGAUGUAAUCAAUUGCAGUUGUAUGAUCUAACCGCGUGAUUAUCAGCUGAACAGUUCGUUAUUUAAAAUUUUAAAUUUUAAAUUGAGAUAAAUUACCUGCGGAAUAGACGGUUGAAAAAACUCUCAGGUGGUAUUUAUAGUUGACAAUAUCUAUCGAAUGACUGAUUGCGUUUUAGAUUACAUCUAUGAGACGUUCAAGUGUUCGAACUCCAUUAACUCAGUCAGUUAAUCUACGGAGGAGCGGAAAUUUCUUCGAGUUUCCUAGUUAACGGAUGCCCUUUCUCUUUUAAAAAGUCAACUAUGGCGCAUGCGCUCUUAAAUAUACAUGUAUGAUGCAAAUAUAACCAUAUACCGACACAUACAAAUGUACAGCAUCGGAUGGGAGACAGCGUAGCUCGUACUGGGAGUCAAGAUUGAGGGGAAGUUCCAAGAUAAUGGAAUCCGAGUUAAUAAAAUUACAGUCGAACCUCGUUAUAAGACUAUCUGCUGUCUUUUUUAUAAACCAGGUAUCACGAUAGUUUGAGAGAGAAACUACUAGUCUUAUAACGAGGUCCUACUGUACUUAAAAAAUUAUAAAUCUUUGACUGAUCAUUGAA